UUCACACGCCGGUAAUUGAACCAGGGCCUUCUGUGUAAAAGCCAGAUAUCCUAGACUACACUAGACUACAUGGGA